AGCGAACGCUGGCGGCAGGCUUAACACAUGCAAGUCGAGCGGGCACUUCGGUGUCAGCGGCAGACGGGUGAGUAACACGUGGGAACGUGCCCUUCGGUUCGGAAUAACUUAGGGAAACUUGAGCUAAUACCGGAUACGCCCUUUUGGGGAAAGGUUGACCGCCGAAGGAUCGGCCCGCGUCUGAUUAGCUUGUUGGUGGGGUAACGGCCUACCAAGGCGACGAUCAGUAGCUGGUCUGAGAGGAUGAUCAGCCACACUGGGACUGAGACACGGCCCAGACUCCUACGGGAGGCAGCAGUGGGGAAUAUUGGACAAUGGGCGCAAGCCUGAUCCAGCCAUGCCGCGUGAGUGAUGAAGGCCUUAGGGUUGUAAAGCUCUUUUGUCCGGGACGAUAAUGACGGUACCGGAAGAAUAAGCCCCGGCUAACUUCGUGCCAGCCGCCGCGGUAAGAC
rnacentral:rRNA from 1 species